rnacentral:rRNA from 1 species
AAUUAAUCCUUCGGGAAGCGUUGAGGGAGCUUAGUGGCGGACGGGUGAGUAACGCGUGAGGAACCUGCCCUUCGGUGAGGAAUUACGACCGGAAACAGUCGCUAAUACCUCAUGACACAUAUUUAUUGCAUGAUAGAUAUGUCAAAGAUUUAACGCCGAAGGAUGAGCACGCGUAAGAUUAGCUUGUUGGUGGGGUAAUGGCCUACCAAGGGGACGAUCUUUAGCUGGUUUGAGAGGAUGAUCAGCCACACUGGGACUGAGACACGGCCCAGACUCCUACGGGAGGCGGCAGUGGGGAAUACUGGACAAUGGGCGAAAGCCUGAUCCAGCAAUGCCGCGUGAGUGAUGAAGGCCUUAGGGUUGUAAAGCUCUUUUACCAGGGAUGAUAAUGACAGUACCUGGAGAAUAAGCUCCGGCUAACUCCGUGCCAGCAGCCGCGGUAAAAC